AGAGUUUGAUCCUGGCUCAGGACGAACGCUGGCGGCGUGCUUAAUACAUGCAAGUCGAACGCGAAAGGAUCUUUCGGGAUCUGAGUAGAGUGGCGAACGGGUGAGUAACACGUAGAUAAUCUACCUUUGGGUUUGAGAUAACUUCUGGAAACGGGAGCUAAUACCGAAUGAAGCAAUUAAGUGGGAGCUUAGUUGUUAAAGGGGGGCAACUUCCGCCUGGAGAUGAGUCUGCGUUCUAUCAGCUUGUUGGUGGGGUAAUGGCCUACCAAGGCGAAGACGGAUAGCUGGUCUGAGAGGAUGAUCAGUCACAUUGGCACUGAGACACGGGCCAAACUCCUACGGGAGGCAGCAGUAGGGAAUAUUGCGCAAUGGGCGAAAGCCUGACGCAGCGACGCCGCGUGAGUGAAGAAGGUUCUAUGGAUCGUAAAGCUCUGUAAUGAGGGAAGAACCGAUUGGUGUAACGGCCAAUCCUGACGGUACCUCAAAAGUAAGGACCGGCUAAAUAAGUGCCAGCAGCCGCGGUAAUACUUAUGGUCCGAGCGUUGUCCGGAAUGACUGGGCGUAAAGGGUGCGUAGGCGGCUAUGUAUGUCAGGUGUGAAAUCCCCGGGCUUAACCUGGGAACUGCGCUUGAAACUGCAUAGCUUGAGUCCGUGAGAGGUUAGCGGAAUUCCCGGAGUAGCGGUGAAAUGCGUAGAGAUCGGGAAGAACACCAGUGGCGAAGGCGGCUAACUGGCACGGAACUGACGCUGAGGCACGAAAGCGUGGGGAGCGAACGGGAUUAGAUACCCCGGUAGUCCACGCCGUAAACGAUGUAUACUAGAUGCUGGGUCACUUAAUAGAUUCGGUGUCGGAGCUAACGCAUUAAGUAUACCGCCUGGGGAGUACGGUCGCAAGAUUAAAACUCAAAGGAAUUGACGGGGGCCCGCACAAGCGGUGGAGCAUGUGGUUUAAUUCGAUGCAACGCGCAGAACCUUACCCAGCCUUGACAUCCUUCUGAUCGGACCUAGAGAUAGGACUUUCUUCUUCGGAAGCGGAAGUGACAGGUGCUGCAUGGCUGUCGUCAGCUCGUGUUGUGAGAUGUUGGGUUAAGUCCCGCAACGAGCGCAACCCUUGUCGUUAGUUGCCAUCAUUAAGUUGGGCACUCUAGCGAGACUGCCGAGGUUAACUCGGAGGAAGGCGGGGAUGACGUCAAGUCCUCAUGGCCCUUAUGGCUGGGGCUACACACGUGCUACAAUGGUCGAGACAAACUGAUGCGAAGUCGCGAGGCUAAGCGAAUCAGAUAAACUCGAUCCUAGUCCGGAUUGGAGUCUGCAACUCGACUCCAUGAAGCUGGAAUCGCUAGUAAUCGUAGAUCAGCAUGCUACGGUGAAUACGUUCCCGGGCCUUGUACACACCGCCCGUCACACCAUGGGAGUUGUUCUCACUGGAAAACGUUGGGCUAGCCUUCGGGAGGCAUGCGUUAAUGGUGAGGAUAAUGACUGGGGUGAAGUCGUAACAAGGUA
rnacentral:rRNA from 1 species